UUGUCCACGUUUUUAAAUCAGGAAAACUCCUUAACUCAAAUAGGAACAGAGAAGAGUAACCACCUUCAGUUUCAAGGAAGGGACAAAAAAGGGAUGUUUUUCUGUUGCUCUUGCUUUUUGGAGGCUGGGGAGCUGGAUGAAGCACAACAGAUGAAAGAGGAAGUAUGUGCUGAUUUCACUAAUUUUUCCUUUGAGUGACUGCUGUUGCCAUGUGGUGGUCUCUGUUGCUAUGAAGGUUUGUUGUGCCAGACAAUGGUUGUUGGGCUCAAUAUGUUUGUGUUACUGGCUGAGAUCUUUCUACAGGGAGUCAGGCUAGCAUGCAAAUGGCCAAACUGAGGAGCUUGGUCACAGUGACCUGUAUCUCCAGACAAAGUGGCAGUGAUCCAGGAAUGAAAAAGGCAUGAAGUGACUUGAGUGACGGAUGGCCAGUUACCUUCAUAAAGAAAGUCAGACACGUGUCACAGAACAACAAACCUACCCUGCACCUUAGUUGAUCUCAAGGGAAAGAAAAGUUUAGACUUUUUCCACUCUGUUUUUUAAAGGUUUUCAUUAGGUUCACAUACACGAAAAACAUCUCUCCUUUUGAGAAGGCUACCUGUCUCCCUCCUCCCCAAAUCCUGAAGAUGAGCAGAGCAAACAGGCAAGAAACUGAUGUCUUCUGUCAAUCAACUCAAUGCACUGAGGCAUUGUUCAACAAUGCCUGUUGAACAGCAUUAGGCUAUGGUCCUCACAUGUUUCUCAUUCCAACAGACUCUCUAGCUGUUCAGAAGUUUGGCUACAGGCAAAUGACAUUUUUAAAAAUCAAAAA